CAAAAAACUUGAAGCUUUUCGUUUGACAGGCUGCCAUAAUUCUGAAGACCGAUCCGUAUUCCAACUGCGGUUGAAGCUAUGAGGCCUAAGCAGAAAAAUAUUUAGGCCAAAAAUUAAUAAAAGAAUCUUGCAACCCGCAGAAGCGCAGGGAGGUGGAAUUCCUGGAUCGUGAUAAACUUAAUGACAUACGUUGAAGGGUAUUGUCAACGUCUGUAAUUUUUCUUGCUUAUUUCCAGAACACGUUUGUGUUAGGUUAAAA